rnacentral:misc_RNA from 1 species
CUUCAUUCUCUUGGAGUAGCGUUUCAUGCUCGUGGUAAUUGGCAACCCACCUUGGAUGGUGUUUGCCAAGUAAAGUUUCCAUUAACUUGUCAGAUGAGCAACUACCAUGGGAAAGAGGCCCUUUCUGCUUCAAUACAUUUCCAUGAUGCCCAGUCAUACUCUGGUGAGAUGUAUCUCCAUUUCCUUGGUCCAACUCAGUGGAAGCCUCAUGAUUCUCAUCAUCACCAAACUCAAAAAGAUGCAACAUUUCUUCCCGAGAAAUAGUUCGGUAUACCUGCUGGCGGUCAACAACUCUUGCA